AGUGCAUAACUCCAAACUCCACAUUCAGUGUCAGCUGCUGCUGUCCCAUUUUGGGCAGACACAACAAUUCCUCUCCAGGCCUGGCAGUCAGGGACACCUCACUGCCCCAGGGCCCAGAAAUGGAAACAAAAUUGAGCUGGGGGAGCAAACUGGGGGUAAAUGACUUCAUUAGCUGAAGCUGUAAUUGGAACAUAAACCGUCAAUAUGCAAAUUUACCAAAAUUAUAAAAGUGUGAAAACCCGUGACCUUUGUCCAUUUUUUGGUGCAGCCCCUGAGGGAGCUUUGCCUGCCCAAAACAUACCUGAAGACACUUCACUAAGUAUACCCACUUUUUUUAUUCCCUUAAUUCUGUCUGGCCUCUGUUUUUAAGUAGCCCAAAAAGGCAAAAAAGGUCAAAAUAUUUUGUGGGUCAGACACAGGCCUGCCAGGCCAGGCCCUGGAGUGAGCUGGGCCUGUGUCCAGAGGCUGUGGGGACACAAAUGGAGGUCACAGGGGGACCUGUGAGGCCUUGGAGUGGCUGCCUGGAACAGGGUUAGACAAGAUUAAGAGAAUAAAGUGGGUAUUUAUUAAAGGUUUUCAAUAGGUACAGCUUGGACAGCCAGGAGCCUCCCAGAGGCUGCACCCAAGAUGGACAAUGAUCACAAGUUUAAUAAAGUUAAAAGUUUGGUCCAUUUGCAUUUCAGGGGUUAAUCCUCCAAUUACAGCUUCAGGGUUCAUGGAGUUUAGACCUUCCUUGGGUCUGGUGCUGACCAGCAGAAAAGAGGAAAUUCUCCCUUGUGAUUAAAGCAAACCCCAAACACAAACUUGUGUGUGAGCUUCACUUGACUAUGUGCCCUGUUGGUUCUGCAGGAGCCAUCUCCAGUGCAGAACAAUCUAAUCCUGGGUUUCCUCACAUAUGGAACAGGAAGGAGCAGCACGUCCAAGCUGCUGUGGAGGAUGAACUGAGGGUGACUUGGAAUGGGCGGCUGCUCCACACAAAGCUGGGAGCUGAG